AUGCUAUUGGUCUUCGAAUGCCGGAGUGGGAGCUGUUGAACGGUUCUAAGUAGGAGAGUGAAAGACCAGCAUGGAGGAGAAAUCCGGCCAGUUAUUGAACAAACCUUUCCUUUUUCUAAAGUUCCAGAAGCCUUCCUGAAGGUGGAAAGAGGACACGCACGAGGAAAGACUGUAAUUAAUGUUGUUUAAAUAAAAAUGCAGUUUAGUG
rnacentral:lncRNA from 1 species